GAUGAACGCUAGCGAUAGGCUUAACACAUGCAAGUCGAGGGGCAGCAUGGUCUUAGCUUGCUAAGACUGAUGGCGACCGGCGCACGGGUGCGUAACGCGUAUGCAACUUGCCUCACAGAGGGGGAUAACCCGUCGAAAGACGGACUAAUACCGCGUACACUCUAUUUUGGGCAUCCAAGGUAGAGGAAAUGAAAUUCGCUGUGAGAUAGGCAUGCGUCCCAUUAGCUAGUUGGUGAGGUAACGGCUCACCAAGGCGACGAUGGGUAGGGGAACCGAGAGGUUGAACCCCCACAAUGGUACUGAGACACGGACCAGAAUCCUACGGGAGGCAGCAGUGAGGAAUAUUGGUCAAUGGGCAAGAGCCUGAACCAGCCAAGUCGGGUGAAGGAUGACUGUCUUAUGGAUUGUAAACUUCUUUUGUAGGGGAAUAAAGAGGGGCACGUGUGCCCCAGUGAAUGUACCCUACGAAUAAGCAUCGGCUAACUCCGUG
rnacentral:rRNA from 1 species